rnacentral:sRNA from 1 species
GCCUUGCCGGGUCACGCCGGCGGGGAUCACUGAACCGGCUCGGCGUCUUUCCAUAUCCUAACGGAUCGGGAAAGGCGCUCGCAUAGAU